GACGAACCGUGCGAACGUUGUUCGGAAUCACUGGGCUUAAAGGGCGCGUAGGCGGGCUACCAAGUCAGGGGUGAAAUCCUGCGGCUCAACCGUAGAAGUGCCUUUGAUACUGGUGGUCUUGAGGGAGGUAGGGGCGUGCGGAACUUCCGGUGGAGCGGUGAAAUGCGUAGAUAUCGGAAGGAACACCGGUGGCGAAAGCGGCGCGCUGGACCUCUUCUGACGCUGAGGCGCGAAAGCCAGGGGGAGCGAACGGG
rnacentral:rRNA from 1 species